rnacentral:rRNA from 1 species
AUUGAACGCUGGCGGCAGGCCUAACACAUGCAAGUCGAACGAGUGGCGGACGGGUGAGUAAUGUGUGGGAAACUGCCUGAUGGAGGGGGAUAACUACUGGAAAAGGUAGCUAAUACCGCAUACCAUCGGAUGUGCCCAGAUGGGAAUAGAUGGUUGGUGGGGUAAUGGCUAACCAGGGCGAAGAUCCCUAGCUGGUCUGAGAGGAUGACCAGCCAAUCUGGACCGGGGACACGGCCCAGACUCCAACGGGAGCAAGCAGUGGGGAAUAUUGCACAUGGGGCGAAAGCCUGAUGCAGCCAUGCCGCGUGUAGGAAGAAGGCCUUCGGUUUUUAAAGUACUUUAAGCGGGGCGGCGUUACCCGCAGAAGAAGCACCGGCUAACUCCGUGCCAGCAGCCGCGGUAAUAC